GAUGAACGCUGGCGGCGUGCCUAAUACAUGCAAGUCGAGCGAACGGACGAGAAGCUUGCUUCUCUGAUGUUAGCGGCGGACGGGUGAGUAACACGUGGAUAACCUACCUAUAAGACUGGGAUAACUUCGGGAAACCGGAGCUAAUACCGGAUAAUAUCUUGAACCGCAUGGAUCAAGAGUGAAAGACGGUGCUGCUGUCAGUUAGAGAUGGAUCCGGGCUGCAUUAGUUAGGUGGGAAGGCAACGGCCUACCAAGGCAACGAUGCAUAGCCGACCUGAAAGGGUGCUGGCCCCCCCUGGAACUGGACCAGGGUCCGGCCUCCUCCGGGAGCCGCCGUUAGGGAUUCUUCCGCAUUGGGCGAAAGCCUACCGGGGCACCCCGGCGUGAGUGAUGAAGGUCUUCGGAUCGUAAAACUCUGUUAUUAGGAAGAAACAGAUGUGUAAGUAAAUGUGCACAUCUUGACGGUACCUAAUCAGAAAGCCACGGCUAACUACGUG
rnacentral:rRNA from 1 species